GGUGGCCGAGAGACGUCUCCAGCUGAUGCCCGGACCGAGAGAAUCCUCAGUGACCUCCUGCCCUUCUGCAGACCAGGCCCCGAGGGCCAGCUCGCUGCCACGGCCCUUCGGAAAGGUAGCCCAGCUCUGCCCCUCCAGGGUGGCCACCAGCCCAAACAGUGCCUCUGUUCCAACUAGAACAAGGCUCUCCACGUCAAAAAUUUCCUUACGCCCAGCUGCCAGAAAACAAAUGCUCCAAACCCACCCAGCCUGCACCACUGUCCUGGGUGCCCACGUCCCUCUUCUGCAGCCACCAUCCCUUGCUUGAUUCUAUAUUUAGCCUCUUCCUGAACACAUCUCUGUCUUCAGUACCUUCCUGCCCUGUCCCAACCCUAAACCCAGCCUCACUUCUUCACCUCCCUUUGGAUCCCCGAACCCCAUCUGCU
rnacentral:lncRNA from 10 species